CAAUUAGUACUUUCAAGACAAGAAUUGGUUUCUUAUUAUUCCAGGAGUUCAAAUUCUUUAUUUUCGGAAAAUCGGAGCUCUCAAUAAUCACUGACCAUUCUUUUCUAGAAACAAAAAUUG
rnacentral:miRNA from 1 species